ensembl:lncRNA novel transcript
CUAAGUCAAUGUUAUGAUUCCAUGCUGCAAACAAGGAAAUUAAGCCUCAGCAAUCCUGAUAUUCUGGAACAGAACAAUCCUUUAAGAGAUUUGGUAUUGAAGACCUUGUUGGAAAUGGAUCAGACAUUGCCCAGACCACUGUCCAGACCCAACACUGGAAUAACCCAGGAGAGCUUCGUGCUUACCUCCCAUCGGCGGUCAUUGGUGAAAAUCUCAUCAUUGGCUAAGUCCAGCUGGUUCCACUCCAGCAGAAGCUUCAGCUGCCCAUUCCAGUUAUCCUUGUCUUGCUCACUGGUGCUGAAGGCUGUGAGAGGGCAGGAAAAGACUCAACUCACCAAAGGCUCAGAAAUAAGAGUGAGAACCAUUCAGUGUGGCCAAUUAUCAGAGCUGUUUAUCACAGAUCGUAUUUGUUCUUAAAUGGUAUCUACCAGAAGAAGACAGCCAGCUUUUGAUACUAACAAACCACAAUGGAAGAUGGCCGUAUUUAUCAUUGCCUUUAGCAUGUUAAAGGGUACAUACCACAUUGACCCUGGCAGAAGCAUUCCUGAUGUGUUGGAAAAAUUAAGAGAAAUAACAGUUCUUUGGCAAUAAAAA